GCCGCGGUAGCUCAGUGGUAGAGCAUGCGACUGAAAAUCGCAGGGUCGGUGGUUCAAUUCCACUCCGCGGCA
rnacentral:tRNA from 1 species